UUUUAAUAAUUUCAUCCAUUUCUACUGAUAAAAAUUGGCAUGACUGACAAAAUAACUAAAUAGUUACAUGUGGCAUGCCAUAUGUAUCUCAUUUCGACAUACAAAGACUAGUUUUAACAAUAGAAAUGGAUGGAAUUUUUAUCA
rfam:Gossypium raimondii Chr13_contig_288, whole genome shotgun sequence.